GACGAACGCUGGCGGCGUGCCUAAUACAUGCAAGUAGAACGCUGAAGGAGGAGCUUGCUUCUCUGGAUGAGUUGCGAACGGGUGAGUAACGCGUAGGUAACCUGCCUGGUAGCGGGGGAUAACUAUUGGAAACGAUAGCUAAUACCGCAUAAGAGUAGAUGUUGCAUGACAUUUGCUUAAAAGGUGCAAUUGCAUCACUACCAGAUGGACCUGCGUUGUAUUAGCUAGUUGGUGGGGUAACGGCUUACCAAGGCGACGAUACAUAGCCGACCUGAGAGGGUGAUCGGCCACACUGGGACUGAGACACGGCCCAGACUCCUACAGGAGGCAGCAGUAGGGAAUCUUCGGCAAUGGACGGAAGUCUGACCGAGCAACGCCGCGUGAGUGAAGAAGGUUUUCGGAUCGUAAAGCUCUGUUGUAAGAGAAGAACGAGUGUGAGAGUGGAAAGUUCACACUGUGACGGUAUCUUACCAGAAAGGGACGGCUAACUACGUG
rnacentral:rRNA from 1 species